AGUCUCUUCACUGUAAAGAUUUCGGGAAGAAUUACUCAGAGCUCAUUCUCCCACUUACCUUUCCAUCUUCAGCCCCAUUCGGUAUGUUUUGCGUCCCUGCAGAUGGUUUCUGUGGUUAGGAUCUCAUCAACCCCGGGUAGGCUUUUCUACCUCUAUAUCAACAGUGUCAAGUCAGGAAAUAGCAGCUACAUAAGUUGUUGAAACAAAGGGCAUUUAACAGAAAGAACUGGUUCCAAGGUCCUGGCAGGCUGACAGAACAGAGGCUCCUAAGGAUGAAAUAUCAAGAACUCUAGGGCAGCUACCACUCAGGGGAUGGGAACUAAGGGAGAGAGAAUGGGUUUUCAAAACCUGAUUCAGGGGAGGGACCCGGGCGGGUUGGUUCUGGGAUCUCUAAGGAAGGGAUGUGAAGCGUGGCCGGGGAUUUAGCUCAGUGGUUCCGCUGCCUGUCUCCCAAACACAAGGUUCCGAGUUCGAUCCCUGGUACCAAAAAGAGAAAAAGAAUGGGCCGUGGCCUGGUACCCAGAGAGACGGCCCUGUGGGUGUGGCCCCUGAACCGUUAGCUCCAGCCCGAGCUGGACACCUCUCUGUGCUGGUUCCUCAUCCCAGCUAACGCCCUGGCGCAGCUUCCGUGCUCUUAGAAGCACUGCGGUUCGUGGCGCCCCCUGGCGGUCCCUUGGCCGUGGCGCUUUACAGCAGGAGGGGGAGGACCUGUAUGACUUGGGCCCGGGACCUUGGCUGACUUUCCCGGCUGACCCAAGAGACAAAGGGAGGCGGGUCGGCUCGGAGGGGUGGAGGGACGCCCGGAGGGGUGGGUGGACUCUCAGAGGGGUGGACUCCCGGAGGGGUGGGUGGACGCCCGGAGGGGUGGGUGGACUCUCGGAGGAGUGGACUCCCACUGCGGCCGGGAGGGGCAGCUUCCGUGCUCAGGGCCAUCCCCAGUCCCCCACGGGCUUUGCCAUCACUUCUGCUUGAAGCUGCUUCGGGCCUCUCUCUUCAGUCAUGAAGUUCCUGCUGCUGACGCUGGCUGUGCUACUGCUUAUGUCCCAGCUCAUCCCAGUGAAAUCCCUGGGUUUGAUCUCCAGCACAACAAGAAAAGAAAAGACUAGAGGUUACUCUCUGCAGAUUCUGGCCAAGUUACCUUCUUUGAACUUCAGUUUCUGUCUCCUUUGCUGGGUACGACCACUAGGGGCGCCCCUUGAUUCCACAGUGACCCAGAACUGCUUCCAA
rnacentral:lncRNA from 1 species